rnacentral:rRNA from 1 species
CCUACGGGAGGCAGCAGUGGGGGAUAUUGCACAAUGGGGGAAACCCUGAUGCAGCGACGCCGCGUGUGGGAAGACGGUCCUCUGGAUUGUAAACCACUGUCCCCAGGGACGAAGAUGACGGUACCUGGGGAGGAAGCUCCGGCUAACUACGGGCCAGCAGCCGCGGUAAUACGUAGGGAGCGAGCGUUGUACGGAAUUACUGGGUGUAAAGGGAGCGUAGGCGGGGAUGCAAGUUGGGUGUCAAAACUACCGGCUCAACUGGUAGUCGAACUCCAAACAGCAGCUCUUGAGUGAAGUAGAGGCAGGCGGAAUUCCUGGUGUAGCGGUGAAAUGCGUAGAUAUUAGGAGGAACACCAGUGGCGAAGGCGGCCUACUGGGCUUUUACUGACGCUGAGGCUCGAAAGUGUGGGGAGCAAACAGGAUUAGAUACCCUUGUAGUC